CAAUAUGAAGGUCAGGCUGAAGACCUUACCCGAUUAGCUGAGAGGUGGUGCAUGGCCGUCGUCAGUUCGUACUGUGAAGCAUCCUGUUAAGUCAGGCAACGAGCGAGACCCACGUCCACAGUUGCCAGCAUACCCUCCGGGGUGAUGGGUACACUGUGGAGACCGCCGCUGCUAAAGCGGAGGAAGGAGUGGGCAACGGUAGGUCAGUAUGCCCCGAAUCUCCCGGGCUACACGCGGGCUACAAUGGUUGGUACAAUGGGCAUCUACCCCGAAAGGGGAAGGAAAUCUCUUAAAGCCAAUCGUAGUUCGGAUUGAGGGCUGCAACUCGCCCUCAUGAAGCUGGAAUCCGUAGUAAUCGCAGAUCAGCAACGCUGCGGUGAAUACGUUCCCGGGCCUU
rnacentral:rRNA from 1 species